rnacentral:pre_miRNA from 1 species
CUGAAGUGUUUGGGGGAACUCUUGGUGUCACCAAGCAUUUAGUAGACAUUGGCCACAUAUCAUAAGAGAGAUGCAUCAAUGGGCUGAAUGUUUGGUCUUACCAUGGGUUCCUUGCAAGCACUUC